rnacentral:rRNA from 1 species
GACGAACGCUGGCGGCGUGCUUAACACAUGCAAGUCGAACGGUGAAGCGCCUUCCUUUUUGGUGGGUGUGGAUGAGUGGCGAACGGGUGAGUAACACGUGAGUAACCUGCCCCCUUCUUCUGGAUAACCGCAUGAAAGUGUUGCUAAUACGGGAUAUUCUGGGUCUGUCGCAUGAUGGGUCUGGGAAAGAUAUUGUUUCGGUGGGGGAUGGGCUCGCGGCCUAUCAGCUUGUUGGUGGGGUGAUGGCCUACCAAGGCGGUGACGGGUAGCCGGCCUGAGAGGGUGGACGGUCACACUGGGACUGGGACACGGCCGAGACUCCUACGGGAGGCAGCAGUGGGGAAUAUUGCACAAUGGGAGAAAGGCUGAUGCAGCGACGCCGCGUGAGGGAUGGAGGCCGUCGGGUUGUGAACCUCUUUCGCCAGUGAAGCAGGCCUGCCUCGUUUGUGGGUGGGUUGACGGUAGCUGGAUAAGAAGCGCCGGCUAACUACGUG